UUAAGCAAAGCCCACCCGUCGUUGCAGCCACGCACCUCUUCUCCCCUCCAAUCGCCUGUGAGCAUGAUAAGAACCUUCCAGAAACUUCUGCAACCAACCCGCGGACCCCACUGGGCUUCUACUCCCCUCCGCCGCUUCUGCGGCCGCGCCCCGGCCCCGCCUGCGCCCGCCGGCGGCGACAUCUUCCAAUGGAACUCCGCCAUCACCUCCCACCUCCGCGGCGGCAGGGUGGCCGCCGCGCACCGACUGUUCGACGAAAUGCCUGAGCGGAACGUGUUCACGUGGAACUGCAUGAUCUCGGGCUUCGUCCAGAACCGGAUGCUCGCGGACGCCCGCAGGGCGUUUGACGCGAUGCCCGCGAGGAACUCCGUCUCAUGGGCGGCGCUCCUGACCGGCUACGCGCGGAGCGGGAGGGUCGUCGAGGCCAGGGAGCUCUUCGACCGGAUGCCAGACCGGAACGUGGUCUCCUGGAACGCGAUGAUGUCGGGCUACAUGCGCAACGGGAUGGUCGAGCAGGCGCGCGAGCUGUUCGACGCGAUGCCGUCGAGGAACGACGUCUCGUGGCUGACCAUGAUCUCCGGUUACAUCAGGAGGCGGCGUGUCCAUGAGGCGAGGGAGCUCUUUGACCGCGCGCCUUCCCCGUCGACGUCUGUCUGCAACGCGUUGCUGUCGGGUUACGUCGCGCUUGGUUGCUUGAAGGACGCCGAGGAGCUGUUUGUCCGGAUGCAGAGACGGAACCCUGUCUCGUGGAAUGUUAUGAUCACAGGCUACGCGCGGGCUGGGAGGAUGCAGGUUGCGCAGAGCCUGUUUGAUGAGAUGCCCCAGAAGGACACGAUAUCUCGGACAGCCAUUAUGCGUGGGUACUUGCAGAAUGGAGACGUUGAUGCUUCGUGGAAGGUGUUCGAGGAAAUGCCUGACCGGGAUGCUAUUGCUUGGAACACAAUGAUCGGUGGUUUCGUGCAGAGCGAGAGGGUGGAUGAUGCGUUGAGAUUGUUUGCUGAGAUGCCAAAUAGGGAUCUCGUAUCUUGGAACACGAUCUUGCAAGGCUAUGUUCAACAAGGGGACAUGGCUAGUGCAAAUACCUGGUUUAGAAGAAUGCCUGAGAAAGAUGAGACCUCGUGGAACACAUUGAUCUCUGGGUACAAAGAUGAAGGAGCACUAGCUUUGCUGUCAGAAAUGACCAGAGGAGGACUCAGGCCAAACCAAGCCACUUUGAGCGUUGUUAUUUCUAUCUGCGCCUCUCUUGUUGCGCUCGGAUGUGGAAAAAUGGUGCAUCUCUGUGCAGUCAAAACUGGCUUUGAGCGUGAUGCUUUGGUAAUGAGCUCAUUGAUAUCUAUGUACUCAAAGUGUGGGCUAAUCGCUGAAGCCUCACAAGUUUUCGAAUUGAUGUUGCAGCGAGAUACAGUGACAUGGAAUGCCAUGAUUGCGACAUAUGCUUAUCAUGGUAAGGCUGCUGAAGCUCUGAAACUCUUUCACAAGAUGACUGAAGAUGGGUUUCGUCCAGACCAUGCAACCUUUCUUAGUGUAUUGUCUUCUUGUGCACACAAAGGCUAUUUAUAUGAAGGUUGUCGUUAUUUUAGAAGCAUGCAAGAAGAUUGGAACUUGAUUCCUAGGUCUGAUCACUAUUCCUGUAUGGUUGAUCUCCUAGGAAGAUCUGGUUUUGUACACCAAGCUUAUGCAUUCACAAGAAAAAUCCCAUCUGACCUUCAAGUAAAUGCAUGGGAGACACUGUUUAGCGCAUGUAAUGCUCACGGAGAUGUUCAGCUUGGAGAAGUCAUUGCAAAGAAUGUCCUUCAGGCGCAACCUUCUGAUGGAGGAAUGUAUACACUCUUGGCAAACUUAUAUGCUGCCAAAGAGAUGUGGAGCAGUGCUGCCAAUGUUAGAGGAUUCAUGAAAGAGCAGGGCUUAAAGAAGGAGACAGGGUGUAGUUGGGUUGAGCUGAAGGGGGAGGUUGUUUCCUUCUCAUCAAAUGACAAUACACAUCCCCUAAUUGAUCAGAUAUGCCAGGAGGUUGAUAACCUUUCUGUCAUGAUAGAAGGGGCGAUGUGAUAAGGUUAUGAAAAAUGGAACUCUGGCAGUCUGUGAGAUCAGUUGACGGCACUGUUGGCUCCAGAGUCCAAAAUUUGGGAAAACACAGUCUUUUUUUGUCAGGGGCCGGGGGUACGCCCAAAUGAGUUCUUGAAAGGAUAGGAUAGUGAUGUGUUGGAGCCUGUUCAAUUCUUUAGCGAUGACCCCUUCCAAGAUCGUAAUCAAGAAGUUAAAAACAAGACAGUGAGCAAUUGGAGACCACACAGUAAUGCCUUGCCAAACAGACUGGUACUUCGAUAGCAAUUUCCCUCCACUACCACACACUGGUUCCAAAUUGGAGAUUUCCUACAAUUAGCAGUGGUGAUGGUGGUGGGAGCAUUUUCACUAUAUCAAGGAGGAAUUUAAGAACUUGGUUCCAUGUCUGCGCUGUCACUGGGGACCAGAGCACCCGUGACGUCUUCAGUGCAAAUUUCCCAAGCGAUUACACAGAACUCAUAGUGCAGCUGGGAACCUCUUUCUGGGCAACCAAGAUCUACAACCUUUCCUUCAGCUCCAUCCAAGACCUUAUGUACUCCAACUGGAUAUGGAAUUCCAAAUCCCCUCUAAAGUCAUGGAUUUCUUCUGGCUUCUUCUCAAUGAUCGCCUCAACACCAAGGACAUGCUGAGGAAGGAAUUUACACUUAGAUGAUGGUGUCAACUGCAUUCUUCGCAAUGAAGGGCUCCUUGAGAACAAGGAUCAUCUGUUCUGGACCUGCAGCAUCAGCAAGGAUAGUUGGGAAACUCUUAACCUCUUCCCUUGUUGUGAUGUGAUGGGAUGGAAAACCAGUUAUCCUCUGCCAAAGCCUCUUUAAACCUUUCUUGAUGGAGGUCAUAUUGCUGCCUGGAACAUUUGGAAACAGAGAAAUUUCCAAGAUUUUUGGAAAUGCCAAUCCUAGCCUAACUCCUAGUCCUUCGUUUUUAAGAACCUCUUCCUUCUUACAGAAUGAAGGAGAUUAAUGAUUAAUCGACCAUAUCUUACCACUUGGCUGGAUAGCCAGGGCUGAGCUUCUUUGUUCUUCUCUUUGUACUUUCACCUCACCCCCUUCUUUGUAAAUGUCGUCUUUUCAUACAUUUUACUGUCGGGGCCUGCUCAAUAGUUUCAGUUAAAAAAGCGAGUAACAGAUAUGAAUGGUUGUGUGGAGUUUUGUGCCCAGCAACUCGACACUAUACUGUAUCUGGAUACUGUAGACUGGAUAGAAUCCGUGAACAUCCUAAAUUGGUGGUACAGUUUGAGCUAACCUUGUUGGUACCAUCUUCUCUCACAUGCUUAUGCGGCAGAGAGGGCGAUCAUAUUAAGUCCUUACUUUGAUGACGAACAAUGCAAUUAGUGCAUUCACUGUAGCUUGGAUAACAGUGUUUCUUCUGAAAGAAGAUGCAUGAAUGAUGUUAGGACUAAUGGGCUAUAC